rnacentral:lncRNA from 1 species
AUCCGCCACGCCAAAGAAUGGGCUUUCACAGGUGGACGAUGACGCUAGGAGUGUGCUCAGCGUGCAGUCUGAGCGACCAAGGAGGCACAGUAUAGCCACCUCGACUGUGCGGGAUGAUGAAAGCCUCGCAAGCUCCCCAUCACUCCCCAGCUACAUGGUUCCCACGGAAUCUGCAAGAGCCAAAUCUCGUCUCCAGGGCUCAUCAAUGACCAAUGGUGCAGAGACACCAGAGAAAGGAGGCUCUACUGGACCAGUCAAGAAGAGGUUGUCCUUCCAAGGUGGAACUGCAGCUGCCUCACCAAUGCGGCGGCAUUCUGGUCCUCCCAA